rnacentral:rRNA from 1 species
GACUACAGGGGUAUCUAAUCCCUUUCGCUCCCCUAGCUUUCGUCCCUGAGUGUCAGUACAGGUCCAGUAGAGCGCCUUCGCCACUGGUGUUCUUCCCAGUCUCUACGCAUUUCACCGCUACACUGGGAAUUCCCUCUACCCCUACCGUACUCUAGUUCACCAGUUUCCACUGCCUUCCCAGGGUUGAGCCCUGGUCUUUAACAGCAGACUUGAUGUGCCACCUGCGGACGCUUUACGCCCAAUAAUUCCGGAUAACGCUUGCAUCCUCCGUAUUACCGCGGCUGCUGGCACGGAGUUAGCCGAUGCUGAUUCCUCAAGUACCGUCAGUGCUUCUUCCUUGAGAAAAGAGGUUUACAACCCAAAAGCCUUCCUCCCUCACGCGGUAUUGCUCCGUCAGGCUUUCGCCCAUUGCGGAAAAUUCCCCACUGCUGCCUCCCGUAGGAGUCUGGGCCGUGUCUCAGUCCCAGUGUGGCUGCUCAUCCUCUCAGACCAGCUACCGAUCGUUGCCUUGGUGCGCUUUUACCACCCCAACUAGCUAAUCGGACGCGAGCCCCUCUUCAGGCCAAAAAAGUUUCACCUCUCGGCAUAUUGGGUAUUAGCAGUCGUUUCCAACUGUUGUCCCCAUCCUGAAGGCAGAUUCUCACGCGUUACUCACCCGUCCG